AUCGAACCAAGGUCUGUAGUAACGCGGUAAUUUCGCUGUGCCACAGGUGAUAUUCCGCCCAAAAUCUGUAUGCCAUGGGCACUCCAACCCUGUUCCUGUAGCUACCCAAGUGCUUAAUUUGGGAAACCAAGUGAAAUCUGUUCGGGAACAUCGAUAGAAACAUGUUUUCACAAUGAAACACAGCCACUCUGCGCGCUGGAGAAAGGAAUGAAGGAGAGAGGGAUGGAUAUGGAAACUCACGAUGGAGGGGUGCGUCACUUGAGUGGUUUGAGUCACUAUCGUGAGCUUCCUGUCCGGGUUGGCGCCCCCCCUUGGGUUGUGCCGUGGGGGAGAUCUUCGUGGGCUGUACCCGGCCUUGUUUUAGGAUGGUAAGUUGGUGGUUGAAGAUAUCCCUCUAGUGGUGUGGGGCUGUGCUUUGGCAAAGUGUGUGAGGUUUUAUCCUGCCUGUUUGGCCCUGUCCGGGGGUAUUGUCAGAUGGGGCCACAGUGUCUCCCGACCCCUCCUUUCUCAGCCUCCAGUAUUUAUGCUGCAGAUGUUUGUGUCGGAGGGCUAGUGUCAGUCUGUUAUAUCUGAAGUAUUUCUCCUGUCUUAUCCGGUGUCCUGUGUGAAUUUAAGUAUGCUCUCUCUAAUUCUCUCUCUUUUUCUCUCUUUCUCUCUUUUUUUCUUUCUCUCUCUCGGAGGACCUGAGCCCUAGGACCAUACCUCAGGGCUACCUGACCUGAUGACUCAUUGCUGUCCCCAGUCCACCUGGUCGUGCUGCUGCUCCAGUUUCAACUGUUCUGCCCUGACCUGUUCAUCGGAUGUGCUACCUGUCCCAGACCUGCUGUUUUCAAUUCUCUAGAGACAGCAGGAGUGGUAGAGAUACUCUGAAUGAUCGGCUAUGAAAAGCCAACUAACAUUUACUCCUGAGAUGCUGACCUUUUGCACCCUCAACAACCACUGUGAUUAUUAUUAUUUAACCCUGCUGGUCGUCUAUGAACAUUUGAACAUCUUGACCAUUUUCUGUUAUCUCCACCCGGCACAGCCAAGAGGACUGGCCAACCCUCGUAGCCUGGUUCCUCUCUAGGUUUUUUCCUAGGUUCUGGCCUUUCUAGGGAGUUUUUCCUAGACAUUGUCCUUCUACACCUGCAUUACUGGCUGUUUGGGGUUUUAGGCUGGGUUUCUGUACAGCACUUUUGAGCCUGUAAUCGAACCCACAAAUGUUGAUGCUCCAGAUACUCAACUAGUCUAAAGAAGGCCAGUUGUAUUGCUUCUUUAAUCAGGACAUCAGCUUUCAGCUGUGCUAACAUAAUUGCAAAUUGAUUUUCUAAUUAUCAAUUAGCCUUUUAAAAUGAUCAACUUGGAUUAGCUAACACAACGUCACAUUGGAACACAGGAGUGAUCGUUGCUGAUAAUGGGCCUCUGUACGUCUAUGUAGAUAUUCCAUAAAAAAAUCAGCAGUUUCCAGCUACAUUAGUUAUUUACAACAUUAACCAUGUCCACACUGUAUUUCUUAUCAAUUUUAUGUUAUUUUAAUGGACAAAAAAUGUGUUUUUCUUUCAAAACAAGUACAUUUCUAAGUGACCCCAAAUUUUGAACGGUAGUGUACAUAUUUUUUACUUUCACUUACUUACUAGUGAAUGCAGCUAGCUAAUUUAGCUUGCUCAAACAAAGGGAUGCUAUGUUAGCUAACUGGCGAUGACUAUCCAACACUGGAACUCUUCCAAGUCAAAGUAAGCUUUUCAUUUGAUAAAUGUAUUGGCACUGCUAAACUGCUUGCUGUACACUGUACUGCAUGAUUUACUAAUGUGUUAGUUCUAGUACCUAUGUUGAGUAUGACAUUAAUGUGGUGAAAAUAGAUGUAGACUGUGUGUAGCGUUUGGCUUGGAAAGGUUUUUUCAUCUGGUCACAGACAGCUGUUGUAAGGUGCACUGAAGUCCACACGAGAAGGGAAAAGGUGAGAGGAGGAGAGAGUGUAGAUGCAAGAAGGAAUUAUAUAUACAAUGAUAGUGAUCAUGCGGUUUAUAUUAAAUGGCAACACACUGCAGUUCAGCGGGAGGGAAAGUCCCUAUCUAACUGUAAAUGCUUUUAAGGGUUUUCGGCUCAUGCUAUACAGUACAAUGAUGGAGUCAAUCCUCAUGCCUCUCAUACACCUAAUGCUCGCAGUUGUCAAAAAUAAAAAUAAAGCCUUAGACAUGAAUUCUAAAAAUAGUAAAGUUGGGAAAAAAGGGAGGCCCGUGGGGCAUGUGUGAUAACCCAGGCAGAAGACCCUGGGUGAGUUCGACUUCUCUGACAGCCUCCCGUUCAGGAAGGGCAAUUAGGAAUUCUUCAGGGCAGGAUUCCUUGGCUGCGUGGAGGCUGGGACCCAGCGCUGUACCAGGCAAAGGUUUCCACCAAGCUGUUCUUGCAUAACCCACAGUGAUAACGCUGGUGCAUUCUUCUCAAGACCCAUCACGGCUGCCAACAUCUCUCUUCCCCCCCCCAAGCCUUCUUUCUUUAGCUCUUGCUUAGAUCCUGUAACCAAGUAGGCUAAGUAAGUGUAUGCAGUCUUUGGAGUUUUUGGAAAGUUUGAAAUUGGCAAAUGAGGUUGGAUAUCAAAGUAUUUGUUUCUGGGUGGAGCAUGGUGGUGUUGUCUUUGUUUUCCUGGGGAACAGGAGACGGCUGAAUUUGUUUCUCUUCCAGAGCACAGGUCAUGUUCAUCAAGAGGUAUGUCACCAGGAGUUAAGGCAGAAGGUGGUCUCAUACCUACUGAGUGUCUUUCUGUCACUAUGACAGGAAACAUGCAUGUCUUGGAAUAAUAUAAUAUAAUCAUUCACAUGCAUUUUACUGUCAUAUAAUUAUUAGUGAGUAUAAUGGAAUGACUUGUUGAAACCAUUUCCUGUCAAAAUAAGUUUUUUGAAAAUAAUGUAGGAGUCUUUCCACGAAUAGAGUACAUUUUGGGUAGUUAACUUGGUUACAAAACAACCAUUCAUUUCACCUAAUUUUAUAGGCCCAGUGCAUUCAAAAUUCAGGUUUCCUGUGUUUUAAAUCAUACUGUACAACAGCUGACAAAACUAGUGUUAAAACAUAUUUGAUCAGUGUUAUUUCCUGAUUUCUCUAUUCUAAUCUAUUUUUCAAGAGAGACCUGGUCCAACCAAGACAGCAGCAGGGGGAAACAAUGUUUGAGACAUAUCAGACUUACUGUAACAACUUACAGACAUGUACUUGCUGGUUGAAAAUAGAAUCUACACAGGACUUUCUAAUCAGCAGGUUUACAUAGGCGGGAGUUGCGGCUUUCCAUGGUGACAUCAACGUGCGGUAAAUUGGUUAAUAGACCAAUAACAGAGUUCCAAACCUCUCUGCCUUUUAACAGCUAGUUUUCAUCCCCCCCCAAUAAUUUUAUAUUUAUACUACUGUUCAACAUUUUGGGGUCACUUAGAAAUGUCCUUGUUUUUGAUAGAAACAGAUUUUUUUGGACCAUUAAAAUAACAUCAAAUUGAUCAGAAAUACAGUGUAGACAUUGUUAAUGUUGUAAAUUACUAUUGUAGCUGGAAAUGGCUUAUUUUUGAUAGAAUAUUUACAUAGGCGUUUAUUUAUCAGCAACCAUCACUCCUGUGUUCCAAUGGCACAUUGUGUUAGCUAAUCCAAAUUUAUAAUUUUAAAAGGCUAAUUGAUCAUUACAAAACCCUUUUGCAAUUAUGUUAUCACAGCUGAAAACUGUUGUUCUGAUUAAAGAAGCAAUAAAACUGGCCUUCUUUAGACUAGUUCAAUAUCUGGAGCAUCAGCAUUUUGGGGUUUGAUUACAGGUUCAAAAUGGUCAGAAACAAAGAACUUUCUUCUGAAACUCGUCAGUCUAUUCUUGUUCUGAGAAAUGAAGGCUAUUCCAUGUGAGAAAUUGCCAAGAAACGGAAUAUCUCGUACAACGCUGUGUACUACUCUCUUCACAGAACAGCACAAACUGUCUCUAACCAGAAUAGAAAGAGGAGUGGGAGGCCCCGGUGCACAACUGAGCAAGAGGACAAGUACAUUAGAGUGUCUAGUUUGAAAAACAGACGCCUCACAAGUCCUCUCCUGGCAGCUUCAUUAAAUAGUACCCACAAAACACCAGUCUUUAACGUCAACAGUGAAGACGCGACUCCGGGAUGUUUGCCUUCUAGGCAGAGUUCCUCUGUCUAGUGUCUUUGUUCUUUUGCCCAUGUUAGUCUUUUAUUUUUAUUGUUCAGUCUGAUAUAUGGCUUUUUCUUUGCAACUCGGCCAAGAAGGCCAGCAAGUGUUAAACAAAUCAAAAAUAUAUUUUGAUUUAACACUUUUUUGCUUAUGAUUUGAUGUUUUAUUUCAUAGUGUUGAUGUCUUCACUAUUAUUAUUAUACAAUGUAGAAAAUAGUCCAAAUAAAUACAUUUCUUGAAUAAGUAGGUGUCCAAACUUUUGACUGGUACUGUAUACUAUACUAAGUGCCAUUAAAGUAACAGGUUGACCGUAAAAGUUGAGGUUUUUAAUCUCAAAGGGCAGCUUAAUGCAGGCUUCACAAUGUAAAAAAACAAUAUUUAGAGCCUAUCUAUCUUUGGGUAACAGGGUUGACAUGUUGCACUCGAUGCACUACAUUUUCCACCACAAACCACCAGAAAAUGGCCAAAAAGAGUAGAACUAGCUCACCUGCUUUUACACUAUGAUUUGAAUAUGUAAAAAAAA
ensembl:lncRNA